rnacentral:rRNA from 1 species
AUGGCUGCUGCCGAGCCACCGACCGAUGGUAACCAGCCGCCCCACGAGACGGACACGAACACGACGUGCGCGGUGUGCCUGGCGGAGUACGCAGAUGGCGACGAGCUCCGGCAGCUGCCGGUGUGCCGGCACGCAUUCCACCGGCCAUGCGUCGAUGAAUGGCUGCGGCGGCGACCGAGCUGCCCGCUCUGCCGCACGUAUAGCGCCAAAAUGUGUCGUACGAGGUCGACAACUUUCCAUAUCAUCUUCUAG